rnacentral:rRNA from 1 species
CAGAGGGGGCAAGCGUUGUUCGGAAUUACUGGGCGUAAAGGGCGCGUAGGCGGCCUGUUAAGUCGAACGUGAAAUCCCCAAGCUUAACUUGGGAACUGCGUCCGAUACUGGCAGGCUUGAAUUCGGGAGAGGGAUGUGGAAUUCCAGGUGUAGCGGUGAAAUGCGUAGAUAUCUGGAGGAACACCGGUGGCGAAGGCGGCAUCCUGGACCGAAAUUGACGCUGAUGCGCGAAAGCCAGGGGAGCAAACGGGAUUAGAUACCCCGGUAGUCCUGGCCCUAAACGAUGAAUGCUUGGUGUGGCGGGUAUCGAUCCCUGCCGUGCCGAAGCUAACGCAUUAAGCAUUCCGCCUGGGGAGUACGGUCGCAAGGCUG